UAACACGUGGGUGACCUGCCUUCGAGCGGGGGAUAACGUCCCGAAAGGGACGCUAAUACCGCAUAACAUCCCGCCUUUUAAGAGGUGGUGAUCAAAGCCGGGGAUUCGCAAGAACCUGGCACUUGAAGAGGGGCCCGCGCCUGAUUAGCUAGUUGGUGGGGUAAUGGCUUACCAAGGCAACGAUCAGUAUCCGGCCUGAGAGGGCGGACGGACACACUGGGACUGAGACACGGCCCAG
rnacentral:rRNA from 1 species